CCGCGAGGAGUACGGAAAGACUGCCGUACUUUGACGUCACCGAUAUUGUCUACAACUGGCCCAAUCCUUGGGGUGAGUCCUGUGCAAAGUGGGUGGGGAAGGAGGCCGCAUUGGCAGCAGAGGAGGAAGGGAGGAGAACAAUUAAACAAAAGGAGAAAAGCAAAAGUAUGAAAAACGUACCAUGAACAUAUCGCUUUUUCAUCAGGAAGAAAAGAACAAACUAACAAUAGAAAGGUAACAAGGAAGAAGGCCUCGAAAAAAUCCCAAGACAAGAAAAGGUCCCCAAUUUGCAGCAACUCCGAGCAGCUCGACAAAGAGAAAACCUUCUUAAUAACCGCCGAAUAACCGCCGAAUAACCGCCGAAUAACCGCAGGCAACGGCGACAAGUUCCUGCGCGGUCGCGGUCUACCGGUACCGCCAGUCGAAAUUCGAGCCAACAGCAGUCAGGAGCCAAGUCCCGAUCUGCAACAUCCGCGAUUCAACAGCUGCGUGUUCCCGCUCGUUUUAUGGCAGAGGUGGGAGAGGUCCGAAAGUGGGGAGAAAAAGGAAAGUGGGGAAACAGAGGACUGUUCGGCUGAUUAUGUUUCGUUGGCGUUGGCAUACCUUCCCCCAGUGGAAGAUGUUGAUUACCACCCGUUAGUUCCUAAUGCGUGGUGUUGGAAUUUGCCAUUGUGGGGAAACCCUGUUCUUCCAGAAAAAAAAUUGAAUGUCCAGUUAGAUAACAUCCGCCCGGGACUAGAAUUUCGUCAUCAAGCCCUCCUGGGCUGUAAAGCAUUGCAUACGUUGGGAGAUAUUCUUUGCGCGCGAGAGGCCUUGGAUGGAGUUAUGAAUGCAACGGACCAAGCAGGCCUAGCAAUACGCAAGGCUUGGCAUCAAAUAGUGGAUAAAUACCUCCAACCGCAAACCCCACUAGCUAAAUCCCUGUGCACCUAUCGUAAAUGGCAGGAAUG
rnacentral:lncRNA from 1 species